GCCCUUAUAGUCUAGUGGUAUGACACUUCAGUCCUAUAAACGUCAAUGUCCUGUACCUCUGACUGAGGAGGCGUGGGUUCAAAUCCCACUAAGGGUA